rnacentral:rRNA from 1 species
UUUAAAUGUAAAUUUUUGAACUAAAUUAGUAAUAGAUAUGAUCUUCAAAUUUAAAGAUUUUGGCGGUAUUUUAGUCUAUUCAGAGGAACCUGUUCUGUAAUUGAUAGUCCACGAUUAACUUUACUUAAUUUUAAAAAUUUGUAUAUCGUUGUUUAUAGAAAAUUUUAUAAGAAAAAUAAUUUUUAAUAAAUUUUAUUAAAUUAUAAAUCAAAUCAAGGUGCAGUUUAUAGUUAAGGUAGAAAUGGGUUACAAUAAAUUUAUUUAUUAAUGGAUAUAAAUUUUAAAAUUUUAUUAAAGGUGGAUUUGAUAGUAAUAUUAUUUAAUUAAAUAAUAUGAUUAUAGCUCUAAAAUAUGU